rnacentral:rRNA from 1 species
UACGGAGGGUGCAAGCGUUAUCCGGAUUUACUGGGUUUAAAGGGUGCGUAGGUGGGCAGGAAAGUCAGUGGUGAAAUCUCCGGGCUUAACCCGGAAACUGCCAUUGAUACUAUUUGUCUUGAAUACUUUGGAGGUAAGCGGAAUAUGUCAUGUAGCGGUGAAAUGCUUAGAUAUGACAUAGAACACCUAUUGCGAAGGCAGCUUACUACGCCUAUAUUGACGCUGAGGCACGAAAGCGUUGGG